rnacentral:rRNA from 1 species
CCUACGGGGGGCAGCAGUGAGGAAUAUUGGUCAAUGGACGAGAGUCUGAACCAGCCAAGUAGCGUGAAGGAUGACUGCCCUAUGGGUUGUAAACUUCUUUUAUAAAGGAAUAAAACGAGGCACGUGUGCCUUUUUGCAUGUACUUUAUGAAUAAGGAUCGGCUAACUCCGUGCCAGCAGCCGCGGUAAUAAGGAGAAUCCGAGCGUUAUCCGGAUUUAUUGGGUUUAAAGGGAGCGUAGAUGGGUUGUUAAGUCAGUUGUGAAAUUUUGCGGUUAAACCGUAAAAUUGCAAUUGAUACUGGCAGUCUUGUGUACAGUUGAGGUAGGCGGAGUUCGUGGUGUAGCGGGGAGAU